AGAUUGAACGCUGGCGGCAGGCCUAACACAUGCAAGUCGAGCGGCAGCACGGGUACUUGUACCUGGUGGCGAGCGGCGGACGGGUGAGUAAUGCCUAGGAAUCUGCCUGGUAGUGGGGGAUAACGCUCGGAAACGGACGCUAAUACCGCAUACGUCCUACGGGAGAAAGCAGGGGACCUUCGGGCCUUGCGCUAUCAGAUGAGCCUAGGUCGGAUUAGCUAGUUGGUGGGGUAAUGGCUCACCAAGGCGACGAUCCGUAACUGGUCUGAGAGGAUGAUCAGUCACACUGGAACUGAGACACGGUCCAGACUCCUACGGAGGCAGCAGUGGGAAUAUUGGACAAUGGGACGAAAGCCUGAUCCAGCCAUGCCGCGUGUGUGAAGAAGGUCUUCGGAUUGUAAAGCACUUUUAAAGUUGGAGGAAGGCAAUUUAACCAAUAACGUUAGUGUUUUAGACGUUACGAACAGAAUAAGCAACCGGCUAAACUCUGUAGCCAGCAAGGCCG
rnacentral:rRNA from 1 species